UUCCGUAGGUGAACCUGCGGAGGGAUCAUUACCGAGUUUACAACUCCCAAACCCAAUGUGAACCAUACCAAACUGUUGCCUCGGCGGGGUCACGCCCCGGGUGCGUCGCAGCCCCGGAACCAGGCGCCCGCCGGAGGGACCAACCAAACUCUUUUCUGUAGUCCCCUCGCGGACGUUAUUUCUUACAGCUCUGAGCAAAAGAUGAAGAACGCAGCGAAAUGCGAUAAGUAAUGUGAAUUGCAGAAUUCAGUGAAUCAUCGAAUCUUUGAACGCACAUUGCGCCCGCCAGUAUUCUGGCGGGCAUGCCUGUCCGAGCGUCAUUUCAACCCUCGAACCCCUCCGGGGGGUCGGCGUUGGGGACCUCGGGAGCCCCUAAGACGGGAUCCCGGCCCCGAAAUACAGUGGCGGUCUCGCCGCAGCCUCUCCUGCGCAGUAGUUUGCACAACUCGCACCGGGAGCGCGGCGCGUCCACGUCCGUAAAACACCCAACUUUCUGAAAUGUUGACCUCGGAUCAGGUAGGAAUACCCGCUGAACUUAAGCAUAUCAAUAAGCGGAGGAA
rnacentral:rRNA from 1 species